rnacentral:lncRNA from 1 species
GUGUGCGUGUGCGCGCGCCCAGCAACCUUCCUGCGAGGAAUGGUGUGUGUGUGUGUGUGCGCGUGUGCCCGCCCAGCAACCUUCCUGCGAGGCAUGGUGUGUGUUGUGUGCACGCGCGCACGCCCAGCAACCUUCCUGAGAGGCAUGGUGUGUGUGUGUGUGUGUGUGUGGCCCGUUUUGCACGUGCGGCGCGCCAGCAACCUUCCUGAGAGGCAUGGGUCUGUGUGUGUGUGCGUGCGUGCGUGUGCCCGCCCAGCAACCUUCCUGCGAGGCAUGGUGCGUGUGUCUGUGUGUGCGCGCGCGCAUGGCCAGCAACCUUCCUGCAAAGCAUGGUGUGUGUGCGCGUGUGCGCGCCCAGCAACCUUCCUGCGAGGCAUGGUGUGUGUGUGUGUGUGUGUGCGCACCCAGCAACCUUCCUGCGAGGCAUGGUGUGUGUGUGUGUGUGUGUUUGUGUGUGCUCGCGCGCGCCCACAGCACCCUUUCUGCGAAGGCAAGGUCUCGGUCGGGGACUCCAGUCAGGAGAACCCUGACCCAGGGCUCAGGAGGCGGCCCCUGCAGCCUCGAGACCUGCUUUUACUGCACUGCCCCUUCUUUCUUGCCCUUUCCCCUUUCUUUCUACCUCCCUUUUUGCUAUUGGGGUAUUACCAGAAUCACCACCCCCCGGUUUUAUUGAGAAAUAAUUGACCUACAUCACUUCUCUUACUCCUUAUGGAAAUCAGAAUAGGCUCCGUCUGAACUCACAGAAUGAAAUAAGAAACAUUAUAACAGAAACAAGUCACAUAUUUCAGAUCCUAAAGCUCCAUUCUAUCGGGAAACAUUCAGAUAGAUGAUUGCCUGUUUGUUUCUGUGGGUAUUUCUUUAAACUUUCAGGAGACUCUCCAUGAUCUGUAUUUGGUUAAAUGCUGGAGUCACCUUGGCCACUUUAAUCAGGAAUGGAGGAUAUCAGGACAGAGCUUUUCACAACCCUUUCAUGAGCUGAGGAAAGUUUAAUGAUGGAAGUAGAGUGGAGGAGACAAAGCCACAGGUCCCGUUUUGUAAAUCGCAAUCUUUAAUUGUGCACAGUUAGACCUGCUUUAUUAAAAUGCAGGGAGAGGCGCCUGGAUGGCUCUGGGGGUUAACUCUCUGACUCAUGGUUUGGGCUCAGAUCAAGUAAGGUCUGAGGGCCCGGGAUGGAGCCUCGGGCGGGUGCCCUGCUGCAGGGAAUCAGCUUCUCUCUCUUCUUCUGCCCCUCCCUCUGCUCAUGCUUGCUCGCUCUCUCAAAUAUUUUAAAAAAUAAUAAACUGUGGCGACAGUGCAGCUCAAUCUUCUGAAGCUGAAAUUAUGUGUAAGGUUACCAGUCGGCCGUGAUUGACAGGGUCCUAAAAGAACUCUGUCCCCUCUUGCUGCAGUGUGAUCUGCUGACUGCCUCCCGCUUCCUUACAGAAAAAAAAAGCUACCAAAAUGCCUCCUUCUAAGAGCUGGAGUGGAGAAGCAAGCCAAAAGAAGCCUGAUGCAGGACAGACUCCUUGUGAAAAUAUACAUAAAUGACAGGGGGGAGGGGGCGGUGAGGGAAGACAAACAGGACAAAACCUAAGACAAGGCCAGAUAUAUUUAUGCACAUACACACGCAAAUCCCCCUGCCCAAAUGAACUGCUCACGACCACUCAAAAACAACAUAAAAAUCCCUAAUUGUCUUGGCCUUUAAACCUUUCAUCAAUUGUAUCUAAAACAUCAUCAGCACUAAUAACAUCAGAGCAACUGUUAAUUCCCUAUAACUAUAGAGCCCAAACCAGGUCCUAAAUAAAUUCAUAUUCACCAAUUUGGAUUGAAUCAUGUAGCUCAACUUCAAUUAAAAAAAAUUCUCCUCUCUUUUGGAUACUAUUGAACUGUGCUACCCUCACUGACCUGCACCUAAUCGUUGUCUUUAUUCAGAUUCUUCCACAUAAAUACAGAUGUUCCUAAGAAACUACACCCUUUCUCUUUAUUGACUCUCAUUUGGCGACCUCUUCUGUUCAUAGUUUCAACUACUACCUCUUUGCAGAGUUCUGAAGUUAAUGUCUAUCCAAGCUCCAGCCUUACAUUUCUUUUUUUUUUUUCCUUUAAGAUUCUGUUUAUUAUUCAUUUAGAGACUCACAGAGGCAGAGACAUGGGCAGAGGGAGAAACAAGCUCUCUCUGGGGAGCCGGAUGUGGGACUCCAUCCCAGGACCCUGGGACCAAAGGCAAGAUGCUCAACCACUGAGUUGCCCAGGCAUCCCCAGUCCUACAUUUCUGAUAGAUUUUCUGAUAUCUGAAAUAUUUAAAGUCAAAUGCAAUUUCUCUCUGAUUUCCCAGUUUCUAUGAUGAAUAUUUCUUUCCCCCUAAUUUCUAAAAUUCAAAUUUGUAAAUUAGUGUUGAG